GAUUAACGCUGGCGGCGUGCAUAACACAUGCAAGUCGAACGAUGAAACUUAGUAGACUUCUUCGGAAAGACACUAAGCGGAUUAGUGGCGAACGGGUGAGUAACGCGUGAGUAACCUGCCUUACACAAGGGGAUAGCCUUUGGAAACGAAGAAUAUACCCUAUAAAACCAUAAAAGCACAUGCUAGAAUGGUCAAAGUGAUAGCGGUGUAAGAUGGACUUGCGUCUGAUUAGCUAGUUGGUGAGAUAAAAGCUCACCAAGGCAACGAUCAGUAGCCGGCUUGAGAGAGUGUACGGCCACAUUGGGACUGAGACACGGCCCAGACUCCUACGGGAGGCAGCAGUGGGGAAGUUUGCACAAUGGGGGAAACCCUGAUGCAGCGACGCCGCGUGAUUUAGAAGGCCUUCGGGUUGUAAAAAUCUUUUGUAUAGGAAGAAAAUGACAGUACUAUACGAAUAAGGUCCGGCUAAUUACGUG
rnacentral:rRNA from 1 species